UACGUAGGGGGCAAGCGUUGUCCGGAUUUAUUGGGCGUAAAGAGCUUGUAGGCGGCUACUCAGGUCAGCUGUGAAAACUCGAGGCUCAACCUCGAGACGUCGGUUGAAACCGUAUGGCUAGAGUCCGGAAGAGGAGAGUGGAAUUCCCGGUGUAGCGGUGAAAUGCGCAGAUAUCGGGAAGAACACCCGUGGCGAAGGCGGCUCUCUGGGACGGUACUGACGCUGAGACGCGAAAGCGUGGGGAGCGAACAGG
rnacentral:rRNA from 1 species